rnacentral:rRNA from 1 species
AUACGGAGGGGGUUAGCGUUGUUCGGAAUUACUGGGCGUAAAGCGUACGUAGGCGGAUUAGUAAGUUAGAGGUGAAAUCCCAGGGCUCAACCCUGGAACUGCCUUUAAUACUGCUAGUCUAGAGUUCGAGAGAGGUGAGUGGAAUUCCAAGUGUAGAGGUGAAAUUCGUAGAUAUUAGAAAGAAUACCAAUUGCGAAGGCAGCUUUCUGGAUCAUUACUGACACUGAGGAACGAAAGCAUGGGUAGCGAAGAGGAUUAGAUACCCUCGUAGUCCAUGCCGUAAACGAUGUGUGUUAGACGUUGGAAAUUUAUUUUCAGUGUCGCAGCGAAAGCGAUAAACACACCGCCUGGGGAGUACGACCGCAAGGUUAAAACUCAAAUGAAAUUGACGGGGACCCGCACAAGUAGUGGAGCAUGUGGUUUAAUUCGAAGAUACGCGCAGAACCUUACCAACACUUGACAUGUCGUCGCGACUCUAAGAGAUUAGAGUUUUCGGUUCGGCCGGACGAAACACAGGUGCUGCAU